GUCGACCCUCACCCAAGGAAGAAAACUUCAUCUUCCUCUCCAAGCAAACCAUAGCCAACGCACACCCUCUCUUCUUAUCCUCUCUUUUGUUCUUCAAGAAACCAAACUCCUCUCAUCUCCUUCAAGCCAAGCAUCCAUUUUUACUUCUUCUCAAGAGGAAAAUAGCAAGUGAUAUCGUGUUGCUCUUCAUCCAUACGACUAUACCUCUAUUUGGUCUUCCACUUGUGUUUUGAAAGAAGCUAAGAACUUAAGGACCUAUAUUGAUGAUGGAAGUAUCGAG